rnacentral:rRNA from 1 species
AUAAUAUUAUUAAAGUUAUUUGAAAUAAAGUUAUUAAUUAAAGUAAUUUUAGGAAUGUAUUUUUAGUAUAGUUUAUAGAAUUUAUGCAGUGAAUAAUAGAGAAGUAGUACUGUGGAGGACAUAUGAAAUAUAUGAAAUAGUUAUUAGGGUGAAAGAAGAAUAUAAUUUGUACCUUGAGUAUCAGGGUUUAUUAAUUAGUGAUAAAGAUUUAUAGUUCUCGAAUUUAAAAGAGUUAAAAUAGUAUAGUAGUUAAUGUGGUAUUAUUAUUACUAAUAUUAUUUUAGGGAUGAAAUGUUAAACGUUUUUUAAGUUAUCUAGUUUUCUAAGAAAUGAAUUUAAUUCAUGUUAUUAAGAGUAAAUAUUUAUUUGAAUUAAUAGUUUAUUUUUGAUAUCAAAUGUAUGAAGGGAUAAGCUUUUAUAUAAAUGCUAUAAAUUGUAAGGUUAAGAAAGAGUUGUAGGCUUUAAAUUAGCCAUCUUUGAGAUAAUGUUAUAAAUUGUUUUAUGGUUAAAUUAUUUUUAAUGAGUUUAGGUUGUUUAUUAGAAUAUUAUGUUAAAUAGAUUAAUAUAAGUAAUGAUGAUAAAAUGAGUAUAUGAAGUUGUUUAUGUGGUUUUAUACUAAAAUUUAUAAUAAGGAAUUAGGCAAAUUAUCACUCGCCUGUUUAUCAAAAACAUCUUCUUUUGAUUAUAUGUAUAAGGUAGGGCCUGCCCACUGAAAUUAUUUGAAGGGCCGCGGUAUUAUGACCGUGCAAAGGUAGCAUAAUCAUUAGUCUUUUAAUUGAGGGCUGGAAUGAAUGGUUUGACGAGGUGAUAACUGUCUCAUUAUAAUAUAUAGAAGUUAACUUUUGAGUCAAAAGGCUUAAAUUUUAAUAGAGGACGAGAAGACCCUAUAGAGCUUUAUAUAUAAAUUUAAAUUUGUAUUUAGAAGUUUAUUGGAAUUUAGGUUGAUUAUAUUAUGUUGGGGUGACAUGAAGAUAAAAUGAACUCUUCAUUUUAGUAACAUUGAUAUAUGGAUGUUUGGUCCAUUUUUAAUGAUCAUAAGAUUAAGUUACCUUAGGGAUAACAGCGUAAUUUUUCUUGAGAGUUCAUAUCAACAGAGAAGAUUGCGACCUCGAUGUUGGAUUAAGGAAUAUAAUUGGAUGCAGCAGUUUAAUUAAUAGGUCUGUUCGACCUUUAAAUCCUUACAUGAUCUGAGUUCAGACCGGUGUAAGCCAGGUCGGUUUCUAUCUUUAUUUCAUUUUUAUACUUUAGUACGAAAGGACCAAGUAUUGUAAAAAUUUUAUGUUAUUUGAUUAUUAUUA